GCCGCCCGCUCCAGAGGGACGGAAGCGGCGGGGCCGCCGGAUCCAGGGACAAUGGGGUGGGGCGGGCUUUCCCUGGGUGGGCGCAGCGGCUUCCUGGGUCCCCCUCACGCUCUGGGUCAGAGUUCCUUUACAGGCGGACCUGAGAGGCAACUCACCGACUCCUGCCCUGGACCCUCCUGCGCCACUGAACCCCCUGACCUGGGAGCCUCGGAACCUAGGGCUCAGGAGAUGAACCAGGACUUAUCCGAAGGUACCAAGUGAACUUCUAGGAAAAGUCCAAUUCUCAGAUGCUGGAUGUCUUCCAAAAAUGAAGCAAAUUAGUAACUUAGUAGCUGAGUCAACUAAUCCUGUUAGAUGGUCAACACUGGUUUUUUUAUUUUAAUAUUUUUAAGUGGCAACUCUAGUGUGUGAGAAAAUUAAUGUGACAGCUGAAUUUGUAGAAAGCUGCUUUGACUCUCUUGGGCCCCUUCAUAAGCCCUGGAACUAAAUAAAAGUCUAGUGAAUACAGACUUUAAAGCCGGAAAAUGUACUGACCUUGGGAAUAGCAAGAGAAAGUACUUCCUUUCCCUCUCCUGACACCAAGUGAUCCCAUCCCUGUGUUUAGGCCUAGUCCAACCUUCUAAGCUGUGCGUCGCUUCCAUGCUUUGGAGCAUUUUACAUAUAUUUACCCACUUCAUCCUCAAGACAAUACCAUUAAGUAUGCACGAUCAUCAACUCCAUUCUACAAAUGAAGAAACCGGCACAGUGAAGACCAAGGAAUGACCACAUGAGAACACAGCAAGAAGGCAUCCACCUGCACGCCAGGAAGAGAGCCCUCACCUGCAACUGAAUUGGCUGACUUCUUGAUCUUGGACUUCCAGCCUCCAGAACUGUCUGCUGGAAUUUGCUGGAGGUCCAUUCCAGACCCUGUUUGCCUGAGUAUCACCAGUGGAGUCUGCAGAACAGUAAGAUUGCUGCCUGUUCCUUCCUCUGGAAGCUUUGUCCCAGAGCGGCACCUGCCAGAUGCCAGCAAGAGUUCUCCUGUAUGAGGUGUCUGUUGGCCCCUACUGGGAGGCGUCUCCCAGUCAGGACACAUGAGUGUCUGGGACCCACUUGAGGAAGCAGCCUGUCCCUUAUCAGAGCUUGAAUGCUGUGCUGGGAGAUCCACUGCUCUCUUAAGAGCUGUGAGGCAGGGAUGUUUAAGUCUGCUGAAGUUGUGACCACAGUCACCCCCAGGGAGAUGGGGGUUUUAUCUAUAAGUCCCUGGCUGGUGCCUUUUUAAUCAGAGAUGCCCUGCCUAGAGAGGCAGACUGGCCUCAGCAGCCUUGCUGGGCUGUGGGGGGCUCCAUCCAGUUCAAACUUCCCUGCAGCUUUGUUUAUACUGUGAAGGUAAAACUGCCUACUCAAACCUCAGCAAUGGCAUACGCCCCUCCCCCACCAAGCUUGAGCAUCCCAGGUGGACCUCAGACUGCUGUGCUGGCAGCAAGAAUUUCAAGCCAGUGGAUCUUAGCUUGCUGGGCUCCAUAAGGGUGGGACCCACCAAGCCAGGCACCGGAGGGAAUCUCCUGGUCUGCUGGUUGUAAAGACCAUGGGAAAAUUGCAGUAUCUGGGCAGGAGUUCACUGUUCCUCCCAGUACAGUCUCUCAUGGCUUCCCUUGGCUCGGAACAGGAAAUCCCCUGACCCCUUGUGCUUCCUGGGUGAGGUAAUGCCCCACCCUGCUUCAGCUCACUCUCCAUGGGCUGAACCCACUGUCCAAUCAGUCCCAAUGAGAUGAACUGGGUACCUCAGUUGGAAAUGCAGAAAUCACCUGCCUUCUGCACUGAUCUCACUGGGAGCUGCAGACUGGAGCUGUUCCUAUUCACCCAUCUUGCCAACAAGUUCCUAGGACUGUCAUCUUUUAUAGAAAAAAAUGCCUUCAGACAGAUUGGUUCUGUGACUGUUUAUAAGUUUAUAUUCUAGCCCCAUAGACAAAUUUUUCAAAAAAGAUCCCAACUGUAAUAACAUUUCUCCCAAGGAGUGAUUAAAAACCAAAUCUGAAUGGACACUACUGUCUUACUAAUGGGCUGUGGAAAAUGCAAUAAUGAUGCUUGUGAAAUUAUUAGAUUCAGGAAUAAUGUAUUAUUCUAGAAUUGUGCUAAUUCAUUUCCCACUUCUGAUCAUUUGAAGUUUACUUCUCUCUCAUUGAAAAGGAUUAAUGAUAUGUUUAUUAAAUAAAGACUAAUUUUAUUUUAUGUUUUUUGUGUUUUUUUUUUUGAGAUGGAGUCUCGCUGUCACCCAGGCUAGAGUGCAGUGGCGCGAUCUUGGCUCACUGCAGGAUCCGCCCCACGGGGUUCAAGCCAUUCUCCUGCCUCAGCCUCCCGCAUAGCUGGGACUACAGAUGCCCGCCACCUCGCCUGGCUAAUUUUUUGUAUUUUAGUAGAGACGGGGUUUCACCGUGUUAGCCAGGAUGGUCUCGAUCUCCUGAUCUCAUGAUCCACCUGCCUCCACCUCCCAAAGUGCUAGAUUACAGGCGUGAGCCACUGUGCUCGGCCCAAAAAAGACUAAUUUUAAAAGAGCUUUGCUGGCUCGACUUUAUGUAAAAAUAGCAUGAAAGAAAAGGAGAUAAUACCAUAUUUUAUGAAAUACCCUCUGAGACUCUUCUUUGUUAAAGAAACAAUUUGUAAACUGUCCUGACAUUAUAAACUCUUUGUCUUCUUAGUCUGACAUGAGGGUGCCAAGCUUAGUGAUUUGUAGCAUGGAAAGAUGAGUGCUGUAGCUGGACACUCGUAGUCACACAAAGGUUCUGUUGGUUUGGAAGGUGAGCGUUUCAUAUUCUUGCCCCACAAGUAAGCCAAUGUUCCACCCCAGGGACAAGUAUAUUUCCUGAAUUAUGAGAAGGAGCAAGAGAGCAUGUCCAUCCCAUGUUCUUGAGAAGUCCUGGCUCGAGCCAAUAAAGCUCAUCGUUGUCUGAAAGAAUGGAGAUCAAUUUCAGUCUGCUGUCACACAGACUCUGGCAGCCGGAGAUCAACAGGAUCUCAUAACAGUAAACCUGGUGCUUUCCAGGGCAGAGCCCCAAGUUGCUAACAGCCUCUCAGACUUAAAAAAGUAAGUUCACACAGAACAAUUGUAUUCUCACAGUCAGCAUUGUGAUCUUCCUCUGG
rnacentral:lncRNA from 1 species